GACGAACGCUGGCGGCGUGCUUAACACAUGCAAGUCGAACGCUGAAGCUUGGUGCUUGCACUGGGUGGAUGAGUGGCGAACGGGUGAGUAAUACGUGAGUAACCUGCCCUUGACUCUGGGAUAAGCCUGGGAAACUGGGUCCAAUACUGGAUACGACAUGUCACCGCAUGGUGGUGUGUGGAAAGGGUUUUACUGGUUUUGGAUGGGCUCACGGCCUAUCAGCUUGUUGGUGGGGUAAUGGCUCACCAAGGCGACGACGGGUAGCCGGCCUGAGAGGGUGACCGGCCACACUGGGACUGAGACACGGCCCAGACUCCUACGGGAGGCAGCAGUGGGGAAUAUUGCACAAUGGGCGGAAGCCUGAUGCAGCGACGCCGCGUGAGGGAUGACGGCCUUCGGGUGUAAACCUCUUUCAGCACGGAAGAAGCGAAAGUGACGGUACGUGCAGAAGAAGCGCCGGCUAACUACGUG
rnacentral:rRNA from 1 species